GUUUUCUAAAUUAGAGGGAUAUGCUUCCCAAAGACCAGGGAUUUCAGAUAUAACAAGUUCACAGUGUUUUGAGGAGGUGAGGGUGAGAGUGUGGAAAAGGUGAAAAGGGUGUCUAAUUAAGGAGAAACAGAUGGAGAGUGGAGGAUCAGAUCGCCGACAAAGUUUGUGAGGGUUUUCUGGAUCCGACAGAGGACAUGGGGCUUAGAACGAAGAAAAAAUUUACCUCUUUCCAUGGAUUUUUAUGUUUUUUAGAAUGAAUAUUGAUUGAAUCUGAGAAUCUGUUUGAGGAGUGUCUCGGGUUUCGUGUUAGAGCGAUUCUGCGAGAGAAUAAUCGAGAUUUUUCCG